GAGGACUCAAGGGUAGAGCAUCCCGAUUUAUCGGGAGGGUCGGUGGUUCGAGCCCACCCGCGCUCA
rnacentral:tRNA from 1 species